rnacentral:rRNA from 1 species
UGGGGAAUAUUGGGCAAUGGGGGAAACCCUGACCCAGCAACGCCGCGUGAAGGAAGAAGGCCUUCGGGUUGUAAACUUCUUUGACGAGGGACGAAACAAAUGACGGUACCACGAAAACAAGCUACGGCUAACUACGUGCCAGCAGCCGCGGUAAUACGUAGGUGGAAAGCGUUGUCCGGAUUUACUGGGUGUAAAGGGCGCGUAGGCGGGACUGCAAGUCAGAUGUGAAAUGCUGAGGCUUAACCUCAGAGCUGCAUUUGAAACUGUGGUUCUUGAGUGAUGUAGAGGCAGGCGGAAUUCCUAGUGUAGCGGUGAAAUGCGUAGAUAUUAGGAGGAACACCAGUGGCGAAGGCGGCCUGCUGGACAUUAACUGACGCUGAGGCGCGAAAGCGUGGGGAGCAAACA